GAUGAACGCUGGCGGCGUGCCUAAUACAUGCAAGUCGAGCGAACGGACGAGAAGCUUGCUUCUCUGACGUUAGCGGCGGACGGGUGAGUAACACGUGGAUAACCUACCUAUAAGACUGGGAUAACUUCGGGAAACCGGAGCUAAUACCGGAUAAUAUUUUGAACCGCAUGGUUCAAUAGUGAAAGACGGUCUUGCUGUCACUUAUAGAUGGAUCCGCGCUGCAUUAGCUAGUUGGUAAGGUAACGGCUUACCAAGGCAACGAUGCAUAGCCGACCUGAGAGGGUGAUCGGCCACACUGGAACUGAGACACGGUCCAGACUCCUACGGGAGGCAGCAGUAGGGAAUCUUCCGCAAUGGGCGAAAGCCUGACGGAGCAACGCCGCGUGAGUGAUGAAGGCCUUCGGAUCGUAAAACUCUGUUAUUAGGGAAGAACAUAUGUGUAAGUAACUGUGCACAUCUUGACGGUACCUAAUCAGAAAGCCACGGCUAACUACGUG
rnacentral:rRNA from 1 species